CGGGAAGAGCUCAAAUUUGUAAUCUGGCACUUUCAGUGUCCGAGUUGUAAUCUCGAGAAGUAUUUUCCGCGCCGGACCGCAUACAAGUCUGUUGGAAUACAGCGUCAUAGUGGUGAGAACCCCGUAACUGAUGCGGAUGCCCGGUGCUUUGUGAUAUACUUUCGAAGAGUCGAGUUGUUUGGGAAUGCAGCUCAAAUUGGGUGGUAAAUUCCAUCUAAAGCUAAAUAUUGGAGCAAGACCGAUAGCGAACAAGUACCGUGAGGGAAAGAUGAAAAGCACUUUGGAAAGAGAGUUAACAGUACGUGAAAUUGUUGGAAGGGAAACGCUUGAAGUCAGACUUGCUAUUCGGAGUUCAGCCGCAAGGUGUAUUCUUCGAUUUGCAGGCCAGCAUCAGUUUUUGGGGGUGGAAAAUCGUGGUUUGAAGGUAGCAGUUUCGGCUGUGUUAUAGCUUUCCACUGGAUUCAUCUUCGGGGACUGAGGAACGCAGUACGCUUUUUGCAAGGCUUUCGAGCUUUUCGUACUUAGGAUGCUGGUGGAAUGGCUUUAAACGACCCGUCUUGAAACACGGACC
rnacentral:rRNA from 1 species